rnacentral:lncRNA from 1 species
AAUAAAUAACCUUAAUAAAAGGACAAUUUUUAUUCUUCUCUCGCCCUCCCCCUUCAAAGAGGAUCACAAACGAGUAAAUCUUCCAAUUCUAUAUUCUCAGAGAUAGAGAAGGAAAGAAACAAACAACACUCCAUGGAUUGGACGCUAUUUGUCAACAGCGUAUUUAAAACCUCCACUUGAGAAGGAGUCCAUGAGAUUAACCACGGUGGACACGCAGCUUGGAUUCCGAGUGGAAUAAAAAUGGACCUUGGAAAGAAUGUUCUCUAUUUUGAGACACUCCUCAUAUGAUGCAGACGUGACGAUAAGCUAAUCCAUCUGGGUGAGUCUCACUCCGUAGUGGCGCCAUACCAUGUCUUCCACUUCCUUAUAGAAAGAACACUUUCUAUCUUCCGGACUCGCUCGGGAUUUAUUGGUAAAAAUCUCUUCAUUCUUCUCUCAACUAGAGUGGAAGGGUGCUGCAUAACAAGGGCAUUGCAAAAGGCUUCUCUUAUUCAUUUACGUGAAACAGUUUCUAGUGCAAUAUAUGCCGGAGUUGGUCCUUAGCCAAAGUAUGAAAUUCUUCAAAACGAUGCUAUUUGAGUGCAGCUGACCAACAGAUGUUAUCCCAUGGUUUUCGAAAUACUCGUCACGACUUCUUAGACGAGUGUUAAAGUUGACUGGCUCAUCAGGCCCCAAAAGUGGAAGCACGUAGUCUGUAAUUAAUCUCCACGAGGAACCCAUCUCUUUCCAGUACUGUCUACAUCUAUUCACGCCUCUGAAAACUUCCAGUUGACCUGGAAAGAUCCGCUCAUUAAAAUUGUAUUCUGUAAUAAGCUGAAAUACAUAUCGAAUUCUUUCA